rnacentral:lncRNA from 1 species
CAAAGUUGCUAAAGUCCAUUAUCACAUGAGUCUGUACCAUAGUUCACAGACAUACACAUGUCACAGCCAAAAUCAUGUCUACUCAAGGAGAAGUUGUCACUGGGAAUAUAACAUGAUUAGCCUAUACAGCUAGUGUUACAUUUGACAUCGAAUGAGAAUAAAAAAUAAACAAUGAAUGCAUUUUUAAGAGAAAUCCUCUACACUGAAAGAGAGGAUCUGAAGGGGUUAGCAAACUGUGGCCCAUUGGCCAAAUUUAGUUCCACACCUGUUUUAGUGUGGCCUUUAAGCUGAGAAUGGUUUUUAUGUUUUCAAUUGUUUGAAAAAAAUCAAGGGAAGCAUACUAUAUCAUGACACACAAAACUGAAAUGAAAUUGAAAUUUCAGUGCCACUACAUACACUUUUGCUGGAACACAGCCAUGCCUGUUCAUUUAGGGAUCGUCUACAGCUGCUUUAGAGCUAGAAUGCCAGAGAUGAGUAAUAGCGGCAGAGACCGUAGGGCCUGCAAAGCCAAAUAUAUUUAAUAUGUGGCCCUGUAAGGAGAAUUUUGCUGACCUCUGCUCUGGAGGAUGGAAAGUACUUCCAGAUGAAGCUGGACUAUCCUAGGGACUCGGGGUCCAGGCUAGGACUUCUUGAUAAAGCCACCCUACAGAGAGAGGUUCAUCAAAGAGAGAAUAUAGUCCUGCACCCCAGACGAGCCUGCUCCACUGAACAGCAAGGACAGGAGGCAAACUGCCAGGAGAAGCCAGAGAGAAUGAGGGGCUGAGAGCACCUGGGACCAUAGCUUCUAUGAGUGACAACACCUUUCAUUUGCUCUAACCCUCACCCACAUUAUCCACUUCUGUAGAUACUCCUGAUAAGUCAAUGUUCCAGGUAUAUCCAAGUCACAAGAGUGGAAGGAUGGAAGCAUUACUGAGUUAGACCUAGUAUGUGCUGGAUGUUUAAAUGUUAAUCUUCCUCACGACUUUCCUAUCAGGUAGGCAUUAUCAUCUCCAUCUUUCAAGUGAUAUUAGCUUGCUUUUUUUUUUUUUUUUUUUGAGACGGAGUCUUGCUCUGUCACCCAGGCUGGAGCACAAUGGCAUAAUCUCGGCUCACUGCAACCUCCACCUCCCAGGUUCAAGCCAUUCUCCUGUCUCAGCCUCCCGAGUAGCUUGGACUACAGGAGCACGCACGCCACCAUGCCCAGCUAAUUUUUUUAUUUUUAUUAGAGAUGGGAUUUCACCAUGUUGGCUGGGAUUACAGGCGUGAGCCACUAUGCCCCACCAGCUUGCAUUUUUUUUUUCUGAGUGAUUACCAUAGUCCCUGGCAUUAUUCUGUGAGCUUUACAUAAAUGGAGUCAUUUAAUCCUCGCAACGAUUCUACAGAGGUCAUCAGGGCGACAUGGGCUACGUAAUUUGCCCAAGGUUGCUAAAAAAAGAACACACACACACACACACACACACACACACACACACACACAUAUAUAUAGUUGUUGUUGUUUUUUUUUGUUUUUGUUUUUUGUGGGGGGUGUAAACCAAUUUCCUUCAAGGCCUGCUAUCUGUCAUGUGAUGUUAUACCAGAGUCAGGUUGGAAUUUGGUAUCUUAUUGUUACAAAGAGUCUGUUUUAUCAGUCUUAAGAGCGUUAAUGGCAUGUUAAUGCUGGUCAGCUGUGCCUAAACUCCAAAGGGAGGAGGGUAAAUGGGGCACGUCCAACCCUCCCUUCCCACAUGGCCUGAGCUAGUUUUUCAGGUUUGCUUGGAUCCCCUUGACCAAGAGGACAGUCCGUUCAGUCAUUUGUUGGGGCGGGUGGGGAGGUGUUUGGAUUUUUUUUUUUUUUAGUUUAUAAGAGGAAUAGUCACUCGGUUACUAUUUUUUGCACGACAACGACUAAAAAGACAAACUUCCUCUGAUAAAUGCGGUUUAUCAAGAGAGAGAAAUAAACACACACAGAGAAUGAACUUCUUUGGCUCCAAACUGGAUAAAACAUUGGGAGGAAUUUUUAAGAUUAAUAUUCUGUGUGUAAAUACAUGUUCAUAAUAAUGUUUGAUUCAGGUGGCAAACACAAGUGCUCAUUCUAAAGAAAGGCGUCAACGUCAAACUCAGUUUGAAAAGUUUGCCAGGGACGCAAGACUCAGCACCUCGGGCUCAUGCAACUUGUAUCUGCCUAAAAUGAAUUGCAGCUUGUCAGGAGCUACUUGGAAGAACAAAAUGAUCUAGAAGACCAGAUGCGAAAGAGAGCAGAAGAAAUCACUCUUGUUUUGUUAAGCUUCAGGGAGUUUGACUUAGCGGGUGAAGAAAGACUGAACCCCAGGUGGCAAGAGAGAGAUGGGUCCCUUCGCUCUUCUCCCUGGACAACUGAACUUUCUCACACUCUCUCUAACUCCCACCUGCAGCCUGCAGUGGAGACUAGAGAUGCCCCAACGACCUUGCUUUGAAGACUGAGAUGAAGAAUGAAUCGUUAGAGGCACUUUGCAGGUGUGUGAGUGCUACACCGAUGCGAACAGGGACACAGUACUAAGCUGGCAAAACGUGUGUGUAAAUAGCAUCUGGGAGGAAACUGCAGUUUACAAUCCUAAAGGGAAGGAAAAAAAAGAAAGAGAUCAGAAGCCAAUAAGGGGCUGGUGCAGUGGCUCAUGCCUGUAAUCCCAGCAUUUGGUGGAU